GGAUCCUUGGGUUAGUACGUGCUGAGUUUGUUGAGAGGGGACCGGGGUUUGGAGAGACAUCACCAGCUGCUAGGAGCAGAAGGAUAGAAAGGAAGUGAAGGUGGGAGUAGGAUUUGAAAGUUUUGUAGGAGGGUAUGUAUGUGGAGGAUUUGGAAAGAGUUGGUGGAGAUAGGCUGGAAAGGUAUGUGUAGAGUGCAUGGGAUGAAUAGAGAGGGGAGGGAAGUAAGGUGGAAGUAAUGAUGAUGGUGUUGCCAGGGACAGGUGAGUGAAAGGAUAGGGAUAUUUUAG